rnacentral:rRNA from 1 species
GACAGAGGUGCCGAGCGUUAGGCGGAAUCACUGGGCUUAAAGCGUGUGUAGGCGGAUCGUUAAGUACCUUGUGAAAUCCCACGGCUCAACCGUGGAACUGCUUGGUAUACUGGCGAUCUUGAGCCAGCUAGGGGCUACCGGAACAAAUGGUGGAGCGGUGAAAUGCGUAGAUAUCAUUUGGAACGCCAAUGGUGAAAACAGGUAGCUGGGGCUGUGCUGACGCUGAGACACGAAAGCCAGGGGAGCGAACGGG